rfam:Oryza glaberrima chromosome 8 Oglab08_0190_2, whole genome shotgun sequence.
AAUAAAUACAGCUGUGGAUAUCCGUGCCCAAUGUUUGACCGUCCGUCUUAUUUAAAAUUUUUUUAUGAUUACUAUUUUUAUUGCUAUUAGAUGAUAAAACAUGAAUAUUACUUUAUGUGUGACUAAAUAUUUUUAAAUUUUUUAUAAAAUUUUCAAAUAAGACGAAUGAUUAAACGUUGAACGUGAAUAGUGCAAAAUUGCACUUGUU